rnacentral:rRNA from 2 species
GUGCCUAAUACAUGCAAGUCGAACGAACUCUGGUAUUGAUUGGUGCUUGCAUCAUGAUUUACAUUUGAGUGAGUGGCGAACUGGUGAGUAACACGUGGGAAACCUGCCCAGAAGCGGGGGAUAACACCUGGAAACAGAUGCUAAUACCGCAUAACAACUUGGACCGCAUGGUCCGAGUUUGAAAGAUGGCUUCGGCUAUCACUUUUGGAUGGUCCCGCGGCGUAUUAGCUAGAUGGUGGGGUAACGGCUCACCAUGGCAAUGAUACGUAGCCGACCUGAGAGGGUAAUCGGCCACAUUGGGACUGAGACACGGCCCAAACUCCUACGGGAGGCAGCAGUAGGGAAUCUUCCACAAUGGACGAAAGUCUGAUGGAGCAACGCCGCGUGAGUGAAGAAGGGUUUCGGCUCGUAAAACUCUGUUGUUAAAGAAGAACAUAUCUGAGAGUAACUGUUCAGGUAUUGACGGUAUUUAACCAGAAAGCCACGGCUAACUACGUGCCAGCAGCCGCGGUAAUACGUAGGUGGCAAGCGUUGUCCGGAUUUAUUGGGCGUAAAGCGAGCGCAGGCGGUUUUUUAAGUCUGAUGUGAAAGCCUUCGGCUCAACCGAAGAAGUGCAUCGGAAACUGGGAAACUUGAGUGCAGAAGAGGACAGUGGAAC